GACGAACGCUGGCGGCGUGCUUAACACAUGCAAGUCGAACGGAAAGGCCCUGCUUGCAGGGUACUCGAGUGGCGAACGGGUGAGUAACACGUGGGUGAUCUGCCCUGCACUUCGGGAUAAGCCUGGGAAACUGGGUCUAAUACCGGAUAGGAGCCAUUUUUAGUGUGAUGGUUGGAAAGUUUUUUCGGUGUAGGAUGAGCUCGCGGCCUAUCAGCUUGUUGGUGGGGUAAUGGCCUACCAAGGCGGCGACGGGUAGCCGGCCUGAGAGGGUGGACGGCCACAGUGGGACUGAGAUACGGCCCAGACUCCUACGGGAGGCAGCAGGGGGGAAUAUUGCACAAGGGGCGCAAGCCUGAUGCAGCGACGCCGCGGGGGGGAUGACGGCCUUCGGGUUGUAAACUCCUUUCGCUAGGGACGAAGCUUUUUGUGACGGUACCUAGAUAAGAAGCACCGGCUAACUACGUG
rnacentral:rRNA from 1 species